UACGUAGGCAGCAAGCGUUGUUCGGAAUUAUUGGGCGUAAAGAGUGUGUAGGCGGUGUUCCAAGUCUGUUGUGAAAUCUCCCGGCUUAACUGGGAGGGUGCGGCGGAAACUGGAAUGCUAGAGGGUGGGAGAGGUAAGCGGAAUUCCUGGUGUAGCGGUGAAAUGCGUAGAUAUCAGGAGGAACACCUGUGGUGUAGACAGCUUACUGGACCACUUCUGACGCUGAGACCCGAAAGCGUGGGUAGCAAACAGG
rnacentral:rRNA from 1 species